GGCUACCAGCGAUGCGGUGUGCCGUGAUGUGAAGAUAAAAUACUCAUCGCAUGGCGGCGGGCAAAACGGGUGAGUGGUAACAGAGCAGUGCAACUG
rnacentral:SRP_RNA from 12 species